CCUACGGGAGGCAGCAGUGGGGAAUAUUGGGCAAUGGGCGCAAGCCUGACCCAGCAACGCCGCGUGAAGGAAGAAGGCUCUCGGGUUGUAAACUUCUUUUAUCAGGGACGAAGCAAGUGACGGUACCUGUUUAGUAAGCUUCGGCUAACUACGUGCCAGCAGCCGCGGUAAUACGUAGGGAGCAAGCGUUGUCCGGAAUUACUGGGCGUAAAGGGCGCGUAGGUGGGCGCUUAAGUCAGGUGUGAAAACUCCGGGCUCAACCUGGAGACUGGAGUUGAAACUGGGUGUCUUGAGGGCAGGAGAGGAAAGUGGAAUUCGUAGUGUAGCGGUGAAAUGCGUAGAUAUUAGGAGGAACACCGGUGGCGAAGGCAACUUUCUGAACUAUACCUGACACUGAGGCGCGAAAGCGUGGGUAGCGAACGGGAUUAGAUACCCGUGUAGUC
rnacentral:rRNA from 1 species